AUACUUACCUGCAGGGGAGAUAACCAUGAUCCAAGAAGGUGGUUCACCCAGGGUGAGCCUCGUCCAUUGCACUUCCGGAUGUUGACGACCCCUGCCGAAUUCCCAAAUGUGGGGAAUCUCGACUGCAUAAUUUCUGGUAGUGGGGGGACUGCGUUCGCGCUCUCCCUGA
ensembl:snRNA U1 U1 spliceosomal RNA